rnacentral:rRNA from 1 species
GACGUAGGGCGCAAGCGUUGUCCGGAAUUAUUGGGCGUAAAGAGCUCGUAGGCGGCUUGUCACGUCGGGUGUGAAAUCCCGAGGCUCAACCUCGGGUCUGCAGUCGAUACGGGCGGACUGGAGUUCGGCAGGGGAGACUGGAAUUCCUGGUGUAGCGGUGAAAUGCGCAGAUAUCAGGAAGAACACCCGUGGCGAAGGCGGUUCUCUGGGACGGUACUGACGCUGAGACGCGAAAGCGUGGGGAGCGAACAGG